rnacentral:rRNA from 1 species
AUUGAACGCUGGCGGAAUGCUUUACACAUGCAAGUCGAACGGUAGAGGGGGCAACCCCUCGAGAGUGGCGAACGGGUGAGUAAUAUAUCGGAACGUGCCCAGUCGUGGGGGAUAACGUAGCAAAAGUUACGCUAAUACCGCAUACGAUCUAAGGAUGAAAGCGGGGGAUCGCAGGACCUCGCGCGAUUGGAGCGGCCGAUAUCAGAUUAGGUAGUUGGUGGGGUAAAGGCUCACCAAGCCAACGAUCUGUAGCUGGUCUGAGAGGACGACCAGCCAAACUGGAACUGAGACACGGUCCAGACUCCUACGGGAGGCAGCAGUGGGGAAUUUUGGACAAUGGACGCAAGUCUGAGCCAGCCAUUCCGCGUGCAGGAUGAAGGCCCUCGGGUUGUAAACUGCUUUUGUACGGAACGAAAAGGUCUCUCUUAAUACGGGGGGCUCAUGACGGUACCGUAAGAAUAAGCACCGGCUAACUACGUGCCAGCAGCCGCGGUAA